rnacentral:rRNA from 1 species
UACGGAGGGUGCAAGCGUUAUCCGGAUUCACUGGGUUUAAAGGGUGCGUAGGUGGGUUUGUAAGUCAGUGGUGAAAUCUCCAAGCUUAACUUGGAAACUGCCGUUGAUAUUAUAAAUCUUGAAUGUUGUGGAGGUGAGCGGAAUAUGUCAUGUAGCGGUGAAAUGCUUAGAUAUGACAUAGAACACCAAUUGCGAAGGCAGCUCACUACACAAAGAUUGACACUGAGGCACGAAAGCGUGGGGAUCAAACAGG